UACGUAGGGUGCAAGCGUUAAUCGGAAUUACUGGGCGUAAAGCGUGCGCAGGCGGUGAUGUAAGACAGGUGUGAAAUCCCCGGGCUUAACCUGGGAACUGCAUUUGUGACUGCAUCGCUGGAGUGCGGCAGAGGGGGAUGGAAUUCCGCGUGUAGCAGUGAAAUGCGUAGAUAUGCGGAGGAACACCGAUGGCGAAGGCAAUCCCCUGGGCCUGCACUGACGCUCAUGCACGAAAGCGUGGGG
rnacentral:rRNA from 1 species